rnacentral:rRNA from 1 species
UCCGUAGGUGAACCUGCGGAAGGAUCAUUAACACUAAUCCGUUUCAACUCAACCUAGCCUUCAGUUGCCUCAGCAGCGCUUGCGUUGCUGGAGCAGCACACACAAAUCUAAUUAUGCAAAGGAAGCUAACUAAGCUCAUUUUAAAUCCAAAUUCUCAACGAUGGAUAUCUUGGUUCCCAUAACGAUGAAGAACGCAGCGAAGUGCGAUAAGCAAUGCGAAUUGCAGAACCGUGAGUCAUCAGAUUUUUGAACGCAACUGGCGCCGGUUGGUCCUCCAGCCGGCAUGCUUGUUUCAGUGUCUCUUUUUCUCAUCACCAAAAUCAUAAUGCGAGAGAUACCCUUCUCUUGCUAAGCAUGAAAGCACUCUGCGCUCUGCGAGCGACUUCGGCUUGUUCGAUGGUCGCACUCAAUGCAGCAGUCACAUUGUUACAAUGUGAACUCAUUGAGAGUUGAGGCAGUGCAGCGAAAGCUGUAAGUGCUUAGUCACACAAACUUACUUGCAUCUGAAAUCAAGCAGGAUCACCCGCUGGAACUUAAGGGCAUAUCAAUAAGGCGGGAGGGAAGGUCGGACUGCCAAGGGGGCACACAGGGGGGGGAUA